rnacentral:rRNA from 1 species
GGACUACCGGGGUAUCUAAUCCUGUUUGAUCCCCACGCUUUCGUGCCUCAGCGUCAAUGAUUGUGUAGUGAGCUGCCUUCGCAAUUGGUGUUCUAUGUCAUAUCUAAGCAUUUCACCGCUACAUGACAUAUUCCGCUCACCUCCACAAUAUUCAAGGCAAAUAGUAUCCACGGCAGUUUCUGAGUUAAGCUCAGAGAUUUCACCACGGACUUACUUACCCGCCUACGCACCCUUUAAACCCAGUGAAUCCGGAUAACGCUUGCACCCUCCGUAUUACCGCGGCGGCUGGCAC